UACCAGCACCCCGAGUGGUUGGGACGAUUAUUGGGCCUAAAGCAUCCGUAGCCGGUUUUACAAGUCCUCCGUUAAAUCCAACUGCUUAACAGAUGGGCCGCGGAGGAUACUACAAGGCUAGGAGGCGGAAGAGGCAAGCGGUACUCAGUGGGUAGGGGUAAAAUCCUCUGAUCCAUUGAAGACCACCAGUGGCGAAGGCGGCUUGCCAAUACGCGCUCGACGGUGAGGGAUGAAAGCUGGGGGAGCAAACCGG
rnacentral:rRNA from 1 species